CGACGCUGGCGGCGUGCCUAAUACAUGCAAGUCGAGCGGAGCUGAUGAGGUGCUUGCACUUCUGAUGCUUAGCGGCGGACGGGUGAGUAACACGUGGGCAACCUGCCCGGAAGACCGGGAUAACAUUCGGAAACGGAUGCUAAUACCGGAUAAGCGGAUCUUUCGCAUGAAGGGUCCGGGAAAGACGGGGCAACCUGUCACUUUCGGAUGGGCCCGCGGCGCAUUAGCUGGUUGGUGGGGUAACGGCCCACCAAGGCGACGAUGCGUAGCCGACCUGAGAGGGUGAACGGCCACACUGGGACUGAGACACGGCCCAGACUCCUACGGGAGGCAGCAGUAGGGAAUCUUCCGCAAUGGACGCAAGUCUGACGGAGCAACGCCGCGUGAGUGAGGAAGGUCUUCGGAUCGUAAAGCUCUGUUGCCAGGGAAGAAGUCUUGAGAGAGUAACUGCUCUCGAGGUGACGGUACCUGAGAAGAAAGCCCCGGCUAACUACGUG
rnacentral:rRNA from 1 species